AUGCAUGGCAAGCGUGAUUGCCGCAUCGCCGACCACAAUUCUCCGGGCUCCACGGAGGAGAAGCGGGAUCUAUGCGUCUUGCUUGAUCACAUCCAUGGGUUCUACAGGAAGGCACUCGAUCGGCUUCCGAUGGGAGCGAUUCCCUCGCUGGCCCCGUGCCUCCUCAAGGCCAGCAUUCCCUUCGGCUUCCUCAACCCGGUCACCAACAUCAUCGCCAACAUGGUCGUCUAUGCCCCUUCACCGACGCCUGGAUCCGACGAUGACGAGGUGGCGGUGCUGGAGUGGGUCCUCUCCAAGAUCAUCACCAACACAAGCGACAUAUUCGUCUUCGAGCUACCGCUUUGCCGGCAUAGGUCCCAUGGCAUGACCAUCGCGCGAUGGUCGCUGGACGGUCUUGUCAACUUCCUCACCACCCGCUUCCCCUACCUCUUUACCGACGAUCAACAGAUGUUGUUGCUGGGCCCGGCAUCGGGUGGAGAGGUUAGGGACAAGAAGAGAAGGGGCAGCAGGGCCGCCUUCAGCCAUAAGACCGACUUCUGCUGCAUCCAGCAACCGAACAAUUCUCUUAAUGAUGGAUUCUAUGUCCUACACCACAUGCUGGAGUACAGACGGGAUCACCAGAACCUUCACAUGGCACCUAGAUCUGGCGAUGCCCAUAUUCUGCAAUGGGCAAAGGACAUAGGAGAUAUCGAGGAUCAUCGACUUCGAGCUGAGUUCUAUAACAUCCAGCGCGAACUUGCCCAAAUCAUCAUGAAUGAGGUCGUCGGAAAAACAGGGAUGUUCCAUGCAGAAGGACAAAUGUCGCGCGAAGACGUCCGAACAUGGAUAGCCUCUCAGCGUCUCGACAUUAAGCCUUUCACAAAGCUCGAUGACUAUCUCCCUGACUUGGAUGGAUGGCACGACAUGAUGGAGUGA
rnacentral:rRNA from 1 species